rnacentral:misc_RNA from 1 species
GAUGAAGAACGUAGCGAAAUGCGAUAAGUAAUGUGAAUUGCAGAAUUCAGUGGAUCAUCGAAUCUUUGAACGCACAUUGCGCCCGCCAGUAUUCUGGCGAGCAUGCCUGUUCGAGCGUCAUUUCAACCAUCAAGCCCCAGGCUUGUGUUGGAGCCCUGCGGCUGCCGCAGCCUCCCAAAACCAGUGGCGGGCUCGCUAUCACACCGAGUGCAGUAGUUUACUCUUCGCUCAGGGCGUGUGGCGGGUGCUAGCCGUGAAACCCCCAACUUCUCAAGGUUGACCUCGGAUCAGGUAGGAAUACCCGCUGAACUUAAGCAUAUCAAUAAGCGGAGGA